GUCCAGUUGCCCUUGAUUUUAACCUUCGUUGGAUAAGUGAGAAAGUAUGUGUUUUUUUUGUCUUUUAGGAGUUUGGAGAGGGAAACUCUAGUGUACUGUAAAUAGUUAGCCUGGUCCGCCUUUUCGGUUUAAUUUCAUUUUCAUUUUCCUUAAUUUCUCCUCCUCUUCAGUAAAGAGUGGAUCUCGGCCUCUCCACUUUAACUGUUCACCAGCUGCUCACUCCUGCCUACUUCAGAGAUGAGUGCCAAGUCCGCCAUCAACAAGGAGGUCUUCAUACCACAUGAUGAGAAGAUGCUUGCCGCUGUGCAGGUAAAGAGGAGGACCAAGAAGAAGAUCCCCUUCCUGGCCACUGGUGGUCAGGGUGACUACAUGACCUUCAUCUGCCUCUCAGUGACAAAUCAGAAACCGC